rnacentral:rRNA from 11 species
AGUUACAACAGUGACUACAUAAAAGGCACCAGAUCCCAUUUGAUUUUGAAAGCUUAGAAGAGAAGGUUUGGUUUGUACCUGGAUAAGAGAAUGUCAAUGAAUGCCAGGUGUUGUAGACU